rnacentral:misc_RNA from 1 species
GUGAAUCAUCAAAUUUUUGAACGCAAAUUGCACUCUCCUCGGAGAGUAUGCCUGUUUGAGGGUCAGCCUAUAAAAAAUCGACAUCGUUGCUGUUUCGCGGGUGAGUUCGGCGGGAAUUGGGGUAUCUUUAAUCCUUUGGGGUUUUAGGGGACUUAAAAUUUUCUUUUUGGUUCCAUGAACGUUUCUAAGAUUUAUUUCUUUACACGGUUAAGGGAUCGAUUUUUAUUAAGCGUUACCAGCAUA